rnacentral:lncRNA from 1 species
AUAAGACCAUUGAUUGGCAUCUGGUAUCGCUGUUUCAUUUUGUUUUAGGAGAUUGGUAUAAGUCCAUUUAUUGGCAUCUGAUAUCCAUUUUUUUGUUCUGUGAGAUUAGUAUAAGUCCAUUUAUUGGCAUCUGAUAUCCAUUUUUUGUUCUGUGAGAUUAGUAUAAGUCCAUAUAUUGGCAUCUGAUAUCCAUGUUUGUUUUAGGAGAUUGGUGUAAAUCCAUUGAUUGGUA